rnacentral:rRNA from 1 species
UACGGAGGAGGCAAGCGUUAUCCGGAAUUAUUGGGCGUAAAGCGUCCGCAGGUGGCACUUCAAGUCUGUCGUCAAAGACUGGGGCUUAACCCUGGAAAGGCGGUGGAAACUGAAGCGCUAGAGUGCGGUAGGGGUAGAGGGAAUUCCCGGUGUAGCGGUGAAAUGCGUAGAGAUCGGGAGGAACACCGGUGGCGAAGGCGGCAUCCUGGACCGGCAUUGACGCUGAGGAGCGAAAGCCAGGGGAGCAAACGGG